rnacentral:ncRNA from 1 species
GAUUUAUAAAGAAGAGUGGAGAGACAGGCUCUGUGAAACUCUAGCAACCUAACUAACGAGGUUAAGGUGCUAAUUCCUGAUUCCGGAACGUCCGGAAGAAUAUAAAUU